AUGCCUUGUUCAUGUGUGGUGUGUUUACUAUGUUGUGUGCUUCUUCUCGAUAGCUCCCGUUUCGUUGCGAUCGUGAGGAUUCGUUCGUCUACGCUUGGUUCGUCUAUGUGGCUUCAUCUUCUUCAUGGACUCGUUCUUCUUCCUAGCGGGAUUUCAGGAAAGAUGACCGCUACCCUAGAUCUCACUACUAUCAUUGCUAUGCUAGUUGCUUCGAUCUAUCGCUAUGCUGCGUUACCUAUCAUUUGCUCUUCAAGCCUCCCAAAUUGCCAUGAACCUCUAACCUUUGACACCAUUCCUAGCAAACCGUUGUUUGGCUAUGUUACCGCUUUUGCUCAGCCCCUCUUAUAG
rnacentral:rRNA from 1 species